UUAGGAUGGGGCUGCGUCCGAUCAGGUAGUUGGCGGGGUAAAGGCCCACCAAGCCUAUGACCGGUGCGGGCUCUGAGAGGAGGAGCCCGGAGAUGGAUCCUGAGACAAGGGUCCAGGCCCUACGGGGCGCAGCAGGCGCGAAACCUUCACAAUGCCCGAAAGGGUGAUGAGGCUACCCCGAGUGCUAUCCGCAGAGGAUAGCUUUUGUUAGGUCUAAAAAGCCUGGCGAAUAAGGGGAGGGUAAGACUGGUGUCAGCCGCCGCGGUAAUACCGGCUCCCCGACUGGUCGGGAUGAUUAUUGGGCCUAAAGCGUCCGUAGCCGGUUCUUUAUGUGGUUCGUUAAAUCUAGCGGCUCAACCGCUGGGCUGCGAAUCAUACUAAAGGGCUAGGGGGCGGGAGAGGCCAAGGGUACUCCGCGGGUAGGGGUAAAAUCCGCUGAUCCGUGGAAGACCAACAGUGGCGAAGGCGUUUGGCCAGAACGCGCCCGACGGUGAGGGACGAAAGCUAGGGGAGCGAACCGGAUUAGAUACCCGGGUAGUCCUAGCUGUAAACGAUGCUCGCUAGGUCUUGGAAGAACUUUGUGUUCUGUCAGGGCCGCAGGGAAGCCGUUAAGCGAGCCGCCUGGGGAGUACGGCUGCAAGGCUGAAACUUAAAGGAAUUGGCGGGGGAACGCCACAAGGGGUGAAGCCUGCGGUUUA
rnacentral:rRNA from 2 species